UUGCCAUUAGUUAUUAUUAUUGCUGUUUGACAGAUGAAAAACUGACAUGGAGAAAAGUUAGACAAUUCCUCCAAAUCACAAAGAUAAUGCCUAGAUCUAGAAGCCAAACAGAUGGGUUGAAGGUGAUACCUAAUUUUAACAUUUGAUGACUCCUGCCAAAUUACCCGCUGAAAAGAAUUUAACAAUUUAUAUUCCUUCCACAUCGUUGCCUCUUUCCCCACAUCAUAAUAUUUGUUCAACUGAGAGAGUGCUUAACUCAGGAGAUCAAUAAAGGUUCAUAGAGGAAGAAGUAUUUGAAAUUGUCCUGGAAGAACAAUAUUUUUCAACAGGCAGAGAUGGAGAAAGGACAAUCUACAUGAACAGAACAGCAUGAGCAAAAAGAAUCGGUUAGAGACUAUCCAUAGGAUAAAUUUCUAGCAAAUUGCUGAGUCCAGGAUAUGCAUGUUUGUAAUUUUGGAAGAUCUUAAAAACUUGCCUCCUAUAGGUGUUGUACCAGUAUGUACUUCUGCCAGUAAUAGAUGGGUGGGCUGCUGAUUCCUCAAAAUGGCCACAGAUAAUUUUAAGCUUGAGCAAAGGACCAGGCCUCCCAACACAAUGGAAAGAAAGGAGGCACCGUGUGAAGGGAAGAUGGCAUACGUGGCACAGACCUCCACCUUUGCUCACCACCACAGAAAGCCACUCCUGCAUGGGCAGGUGACGGCAGCGUCAGGAAGGGAAUUCAGAUUUACUUAGGUUGUUAGUCAUUAUUAAUUGCAAUAGUCUUGUGCCUUCAUUUAAAAAAA